AAAAAGAUUGAAGAAA
rnacentral:sRNA from 1 species